rnacentral:rRNA from 1 species
ACACUCCUGCGGGAGGCAGCAGUGGGGAAUAUUGGACAAUGGGCGCAAGCCUGAUCCAGCCAUGCCGCGUGAGUGAUGAAGGCCCUAGGGUUGUAAAGCUCUUUCACCGGAGAAGAUAAUGACGGUAUCCGGAGAAGAAGCCCCGGCUAACUUCGUGCCAGCAGCCGCGGUAAUACGAAGGGGGCUAGCGUUGUUCGGAAUUACUGGGCGUAAAGCGCACGUAGGCGGAUCGAUCAGUCAGGGGUGAAAUCCCAGGGCUCAACCCUGGAACUGCCUUUGAUACUGUCGAUCUGGAGUAUGGAAGAGGUGAGUGGAAUUCCGAGUGUAGAGGUGAAAUUCGUAGAUAUUCGGAGGAACACCAGUGGCGAAGGCGGCUCACUGGUCCAUUACUGACGCUGAGGUGCGAAAGCGUGGGGAGCAAACAGGAUUAGAAACCCUGGUAGUCCCAUGAU